CUGGUGGCUUCCAAUAUUAAAAACCUCAAUAGACCCAGGCAAAGGGGAAUGAGUUGGUCGCCCAGUGAUUGCUCAGCAAACGUUAGUUACCAUCACCCUCUUGGGUGGUGUUGCCAUGGUGCAGGAGGAAAGGAAAGGGAAGUGAUGUGAUGGGUGGGAGUUUGCUAGCCUGACCUUCAAGGAGAGGCAUCCCUGUAGGAUUUUGAUCUUCUUUGCAAUUAUCUUAAAAGGAUGCCCACUCUUUGUGACCCAAUUUAAAAUGGAAUGCCUCCAAAAACAGAAUGCAUAAAGUCCAAGCCUCAGCAUGACAAAGGGAGAGGUUGGGAGGGAGACCCAGGCACCGCUCACAAGGAUCCCAAUUCACCAGGGACCUCCGAAGCUGGCAACGCCUGCCUGGGGUUCUGGAGCUCGGAUAUUUUGCUGUAACAACAGGCUGACUGUACAAGUACUGUACAGAGGCUGAGAUGGUUGGAUGGCAUCACCGACUCAAUGGACAUGAGUUUGAGCAAGUUCCGGGAGACAGUGAAAGACAGAAAACCCUGGUGUGCUCCAGUCCGUGGGGUUGCAAAGAGUCAGACACGACUGAGUGACUGAACAGCAACAGCUGUGCAGAUUACAGCCCUGCAGUAUCUUUAUUUCAAGCCCAGAACCUGCGCCAUCAACGUCAGGUAGGAGUGACAGUGCGGCUCGCCCUCCGUCCCCCACGGCUGACCGCCCUUCAGCUCUGCCAUCUCCCGCCUCCUCUCCCUCCUCCGGUCAGUGACUGCUCUUGCCUGUUCACUCCAUGCCAGCCCCUGGGUGCCAGCUGUUGUACUGGACUACCCUCCUUUUCAAGAAACCCAGCUUUGUGAAGACCCAUGGAUGCUUCUGAGUCCCAAAUGAAUGCUCACCUCAUCCUAACUGGAAUUAGCAACUCACAGCUGCCCUGGUCAUCAUGUGUUUGGGUGGUGUGGUGAGGAGGUCCGCCCAUUCUCGGCCCCAGGCUGCCCCAGAUUCUGUGUGGACUGCCGCCCGGCCCUCAUCACACAGGGUGCUCUCAGGUUGUGACCUCUCAGCAGGACUUUCUCGGGUGACAGGCAUCUCACUCAAUUGUACUAAGAAGUAUGACUCACCAUGGUUAGAACUAUUUUGUCUUUCAAUAAUCAUUUUUAGUGACUGCAUAGUAGUCCAACAAAUAAAAAUUUCAAAUAACGUGCCUUUAAGUUAUUCCUGUAUAUUUUUAGAUGAUCUUUUUAAAAUUAGUUUAAUUGGAGGAUAAUUUUACAACACUGUGAUGGUUUUUGCCAUGCGUCCACAUGUCAGCCACAAGUGCACCUGUGUCCCCCCAUGCUGAACCCCCCUGCCACCUCC
ensembl:lncRNA